AAAGGGAGGCCUAAUUCAGGUAGGAGACGAAAAAAAAGUAGUCGCUACCAAGAAUCAAUCCCAAAAGGUCGGAGCGAGGCGAAAUUGGCUUUCAAACUAGGUUCUGGGUUCAAACAAGACCUGAAUCAGGAACAAGGGCUAUUAGCUCAGGUGGUUAGAGCGCACCCCUGAUAAGGGUGAGGUCCCUGGUUCGAGUCCAGGAUGGCCCACCUGUACAGGUGGCAAAAAGAAAGAAAAGAAGCGAGGAAUCAGCACCUUAUCUUACUGACAUAGUAAGAGAGAAUGCUGGCUCUGAGUAAAGAGUCCAGAGGAACCUUGAAAACUGCAUAGAGCUAGGUGAAAAAGCCAAAAAAGAAGACCGCAAG
rnacentral:tRNA from 1 species